UACGAAGGGGGCGAGCGUUGUUCGGAUUUACUGGGCGUAAAGGGCGCGUAGGCGGCCUUGUCAGUCAGGCGUGAAAGCCCCGGGCUCAACCUGGGAACGGCGCUUGGGACGGCGAGGCUGGAGUUCGGGAGAGGAGAGUGGAAUUCCUGGUGUAGCAGUGAAAUGCGUAGAUAUCAGGAGGAAUACCGAUGGCGAAGGCAGGUCUCUGGGCUGACACUGACGCUCAUGCACGAAAGCGUGGGGAGCAAACAGG
rnacentral:rRNA from 1 species